rnacentral:tRNA from 1 species
CCGUAGCUCAAUUGGAUAGAGCGUCUGACUACGGAUCAGAAGGUUGGGGGUUCGACUCCUCUCGGAA